rnacentral:rRNA from 1 species
GACGAACGCUGGCGGCGUGCUUAACACAUGCAAGUCGAACGGAAAGGCCCCUUUGGGGGUACUCGAGUGGCGAACGGGUGCGUAACACGUGCGUAACCUGCCCUUGACUUCGGGAUAACUUCAGGAAACUGGGGCUAAUACCGGAUAGGAAUCCUUGCUGCAUGGGGGGGGUUGGAAAGCUUCGGCGGUUUUGGAUGGACUCGCGGCUUAUCAGCUUGUUGGUGGGGUAGUGGCUUACCGAGGCUUUGUCGGGUAGCCGGCCUGCGAGGGCGACCGGCCACAUUGGGACUGAGGGACGGCCCAGACACCUACGGGAGGCAGCAGUGGGGAAUAUUGCACAAUGGGCGGAAGGCUGAUGCAGCAACGCCGCGGGCGGGAUGACGGCCUUCGGGGUGUAAACCGCUUUCAGCAGGGGCGAAGCUUGUGGUGACGGUACCUGCAGAAGAAGCACCGGCUAACUACGUG